AAAAACCAGGAGAUGUUUUUUAAAAAACAGAUUCCCUACUAGGCAUAUUAGUACAGAACUCUGAGUAAUUCAUUUUAAUUACAGUACAGAACUGUAUUUUCUGCACCCAUCAGAAGCAGUGCAAUGGCUUGGGGCUAUCAGAACUAACAGAG